rnacentral:misc_RNA from 1 species
GUUGUGUUGAUGUAUUAAGAUCAUUUUCCAUUACUGCAAAAUUUUCUUCUGGAGUCAUGUGUAGACCAGUGAUCUUGCCUCUUUCAAAGCCGUCAAAUAUCUGCAAUGACACUGGUGGAUCAACACUAAACAUCAAAGGGUUGUGGCAUCCAUAUGCUCUUGGUGAAAGUGGGGGACUUCCUGUUCCUAACGAUCUCCAUCUUGGAGGGAAUACAAAUAUCCGCUAUCCUCGAACUUUACUAUUGACCGGACCAAAUAUGGGUGGAAAGUCGACUCUUUUACGUGCCUCUUGUCUGGCUGUCAUAAUGGCUCAGUUGGGUUGCUAUGUGCCUGGAGAAACAUGUGUGCUUUCACUUGUGGACAUCAUCUUUACACGUCUUGGAGCCACUGAUCGAAUCAUGACUGGUGAAAGUACCUUCUUCAUUGAAUGCACGGAGACCGCAUCAGUUCUUCAAAAUGCUACGUAUAAUUCCCUUGUUCUUUUGGAUGAAUUGGGUAGAGGAACAAGC